UACGUAGGGGGCUAGCGUUGUCCGGAAUCAUUGGGCGUAAAGCGCGUGUAGGCGGUUCGGUAAGUCCGCUGUGAAAGUCGGGGGCUCAACCCUCGAAUGCCGGUGGAUACUGUCGGACUAGAGUACGGAAGAGGCGAGUGGAAUUCCUGGUGUAGCGGUGAAAUGCGCAGAUAUCAGGAGGAAUACCGAUGGCGAAGGCAGGUCUCUGGGCUGAUACUGACGCUCAUGCACGAAAGCGUGGGGAGCAAACAGG
rnacentral:rRNA from 1 species